GUUGAUCCUGGCUCAGGAUGAACGCUGGCGGUCUGCUUACACAUGCAAGUCGAACGCAACCUUCGGGUUGAGUGGCGGACGGGUGAGUAACGCGUGAGAACCUGCCUUGGGGUCGGGGACAACCACUGGAAACGGUGGCUAAUACCGGAUAAGCCUUUGGGUAAAAGAUUUAUUGCCCCAAGAGGAGCUCGCGUCUGAUUAGCUAGUUGGUGAGGUAAAAGCUCACCAAGGCAGCGAUCAGUAGCUGGUCUGAGAGGACGAUCAGCCACACUGGGACUGAGACACGGCCCAGACUCCUACGGGAGGCAGCAGUGGGGAAUUUUCCGCAAUGGGCGAAAGCCUGACGGAGCAAGACCGCGUGAGGGAGGAAGGCUCUUGGGUUGUAAACCUCUUUUCUCAGGGAAGAAGCUCUGACGGUACCUGAGGAAUCAGCCUCGGCUAACUCCGUGCCAGCAGCCGCGGUAAUACGGAGGAGGCAAGCGUUAUCCGGAAUUAUUGGGCGUAAAGCGUCCGCAGGUGGCGAUUCAAGUCUGCUGUCAAAGCACGGGGCUUAACUCCGUUAAGGCAGUGGAAACUGAAUAGCUAGAGUGCCGUAGGGGUAGAGGGAAUUCCCGGUGUAGCGGUGAAAUGCGUAGAGAUCGGGAAGAACAUCGGUGGCGAAAGCGCUCUACUGGACGGCAACUGACACUCAGGGACGAAAGCUAGGGGAGCGAAUGGGAUUAGAUACCCCAGUAGUCCUAGCUGUAAACGAUGGAUACUAGGUGUAGCUUGUAUCGACCCGAGCUGUGCCGAAGCUAACGCGUUAAGUAUCCCGCCUGGGGAGUACGCACGCAAGUGUGAAACUCAAAGGAAUUGACGGGGGCCCGCACAAGCGGUGGAGUAUGUGGUUUAAUUCGAUGCAACGCGAAGAACCUUACCAGGGCUUGACAUGUCCGGAAUCCCGGUGAAAGCUGGGAGU
rnacentral:rRNA from 1 species